UCUGUCUUCUCAGGAGGCAACGAAGCGCACGCACCAAAUGGCCCACAAGAAAUCCAUUGCGCUGGUAGCUGCUCUAUACGCUAUGCAUAUAAUAUCUGGCAUAUGCGAAGAUUCAAAUGGAUCAUCGACUUCAUCUGAUUAUUACGAUGAUGGAAAUUCAAAUGGAUCAUCGAAUUCAUCUGAAUAUUACGAUGAUGGAAUUGAACCAGUGACAUGCCAUUACACAAAUUCCACGGCUGGU